AUACGAAGGGGGCAAGCGUUGUUCGGAAUAACUGGGCGUAAGGCGCACGUAGGCGGAAUGUUAAGUUAGAGGUGAAAUCCCAGGGCUCAACCCUGGAACGGCCUUUAAUACUGGCAAUCUAGAGACCGAGAGAGGUGAGUGGAAUUCCGAGUGUAGAGGUGAAAUUCGUAGAUAUUCGGAGGAACACCAGUGGCGAAGGCGGCUCACUGGCUCGGUACUGACGCUGAGGUGCGAAAGCGUGGGGAGCAAACAGGAUUAGAAACCCUAGUAGUCC
rnacentral:rRNA from 1 species